rnacentral:piRNA from 1 species
UGCAACCCCCUACGUAUAAGGUUCACC